UAGGGAAUCUUCGGCAAUGGACGAAAGUCUGACCGAGCAACGCCGCGUGAGUGAAGAAGGUUUUCGGAUCGUAAAACUCUGUUGGUAGAGAAGAACGUUGGUGAAAGUGGAAAGCUCAUCAAGUGACGGUAACUACCCAGAAAGGGACGGCUAACUACGUGCCAC
rnacentral:rRNA from 1 species